GAUUCCCCCAGUAACUGCGAGUGAAGAGGGAAGAGCUCAUCAUUGGAAUCAGGCAGGGUUGAUUCUCUGUCCGAGUUGUAGAUGAGACGAGUAGGUCAUCUGGACUGCAUGGCACUCAAGUACGAUACUACCCGUCAGUGGGACAUCAUAGAGGGUGACAAUCCCGUCUUUGGUGCUGAUGUUCGAGUCCUUUACGAUGCCUAUCUCAGGAGAGUCGAGUAGUUUGGGAUUUGCUGCUUGAACAUGGGAGGUAGACACCUUCUAAAGCUAAAUAUUGGCAAGAGACCGAUAGUGGACAAGUACCGCAAGGGAAAGAUGAAAUAGCACUCUGUAAAGGGAGUCAAAAGGCGUGAAAUUGUUGCGAGAGAAGCGAUUCAAGUCAGCUUGACUAGGCCCAUGAUGACAUCCGUCCUCUGGACUAGUCUCGCCAGCGGUCUCAUCUUUAUUACGGUUUGACUAAGGUGCGGUACAUCCUCAACGCACGGCUGGUGGAAUGGCUUGCAAUCGACCCGUCUUGAAACACGGACCAAGGAGUCUAACAUGCAUGCAAGUAUAAGGGUGACAAACCCGUAUGCGCAAUGAAAGUGACUUUCAGUGAUUGUUGUGUGGCUUGACGACCAGACAGGAAAUAUCAUGUCCCUCGGAUGGCCACUGCCCAAGUUCUGUGGUACGAACCCAUGAACAUGGAGACGGAGCAUGCAUGCUAGGACCCGAAAGAUGGUGAACUAUGCCUGGACAGAGCGAAGCCAAAGGAAACUCUGGUGGAGGCUCGUAGCGAUUCUGACGUGCAAAUCGAUCGUCUGAUCUGGGUAUAGGGGCGAAAGACUAAUCGAACCAUCUCAUAGCUGGUUCCUGCCGAAGUUUCCCUCAGGAUAGCAGAGACAUCAAAGAAGUUGCAUGUGGUAAAGCGAAUGAUUAUUGACACUGGGGUUCAAAUGGACCUCAAUCUAUUCUCAAACUGUGAAUGCGUGCGUUUGGACGGUUGCUUAGCGUAAGAAGCCCUGCCAGCAAUGCUUUAGUCUCUAGUGGGCCAUUUCUGGUAAGCAGAACCGGCGAUGCGGGAUGAACCGAAAGUGAGGUUAAGGUGCCGGAAUGUACGCUAACCAGAGAUAAAAGGCGUAUGUGCAUGGACACAGCAGGGCAGUGGCCAUGGAGGUUGGCAUCUGCUAAGGAGUGUGUAACAACUCACCUGCCUAAUGUACUUGCCCUGAAAAUGGAUGGCGCUCAAGCGUACUACCCAUACCUCGCCAUCAGCCUUAGGUAACCAAGCAGGUUGAUGUGUAGGCAGGCGUGAAGGUUUAUCUUGAAG
rnacentral:rRNA from 1 species